rnacentral:rRNA from 1 species
CCCUUAGAUGUUCUGGGCUGCACGCGCGCUACACUGAUGCACUUAACGAGUUUACGACCUUGCCCGAUAGGGUUGGGUAAUCUUUUUAAAAUGCAUCGUGAUGGGGAUAGAUUAUUGCAAUUAUUAAUCUUCAACGAGGAAUUCCUAGUAAGCGCGAGUCAUCAGCUCGUGCUGAUUACGUCCCUGCCCUUUGUACACACCGCCCGUCGCUCCUACCGAUUGAGUGCUCAGGUGAAUAAUUCGGACUGCAGCAAUGUUUGGAUCCCGAACGUUGCAGCGGAAAGUUUAGUGAACCUUAUCACUUAGAGGAAGGAGAAGUCGUAACA